AAGAAACAGAGAGCAAAACAAAACAGAGAAGGGAGAAAGAAAGAAACAGAGAGCAAAACGAAACAGAGAAGGAAGGAAGGAAAGAAAGAAAGAAAAAGAAAAAGAGAAAUUUGGGGUUUUAAGGUUCAGAGUUAAUUUGCUAAUGUCGUGUACGAGUCAUUGUCCGAGAAAGGAAAGGAGAAGGUGGACAAGGAUUGACUCGGGAGAAAUUUCGGAUUGUAGAAAACCGGUGUUCGAUCCAAGAUCCAAGUAAUCCCGACCUCAGAGACAUUUUAGUGAUGUACCUUUCUAUUGAUAAUGUGGCAUGUACCUAGAUUUUAGAAGCUAGUUACGGGCUCGGGGAUCGUCAGCGUAGUCAAUCACACUAUCGUCCGUCCAUCAGUACCUAUAAAAGUUAAAUUUAAAAUAUAUGGCAUGUAUAGGCUAUACUCCCCUUUUGAAUAUAUUUUGAAUAAAGUGUAUAUAUAUAAUAGGCCAUGCGAAAAUGGCUUGUUUAUUUUGACAUGAAUGGUUUCAUGCUUUGAUUAAAUAUUAUGGUUGAUGAUUUGGCUAUGUUUCGUAAAUGGUUGAGACUAAUAUAAGUGAUGUUAUGCUUUGGAA